UUUCCUUUCUUCCAAGCCAUUUGGGGGCUUUGGGUUUUAUCGCUUUUCCUUCUUAACACACAUGGAAGAGAUCCAGACUUCAGCUAGGCUUCUCCUGGUGCUGGGCUGCAUUUGACCUGCAUUCUUGAAAAAUGUGAAGUGAGCAGUGGGCCUGGUCCAGAAAUGCCAUUUCUGAAGAUACCGUUUCACAAGUACCUCAUUCAAACAAGAUCUGGGAGUUUAUUGGAGGCCAGCAUGACACAAGGACUUUUGGGACAGAUAUAGAGGGAGAACUACCAGCUGAUACAAGACACAUUGCAGACUGAAUCCUGAGGUCUCCAAUUGGAAGGGAAGCUAAUGAACCUAAAGAAGGAUCCCAUGAAACCUUUAAAUAAAUUUUGCAAGGCACAAGUAAAGAUAAACGAACACCUAUACCAAGGAAAGCAUGUAUGCUCAACCUCUCUUUUUGAUGAAAUAGUGAUUACAGUGAACAAAACAGUUAACCAGAAAUGAAUGACUACUUUUCUCAUCUUCUCAUCGUUUCCAUCACCCAUCUCCUCCCACUUAUGGCUGUAUGACUGAAACCUUGUUGCUGGUAUCCUUACGAUUUAUAUUGAUAUUGUUUCCUGAUUGCUUAUUUGUAACCUAUGAUCAUCAUUAAGUGUUGUACCUUAUAAUUCUUGAUGAACGUAUCUUUUAUUUUAUGUACACUGAGAGCAUAUGCACCAAGACAAAUUCCUUGUGUGUCCAAUCACACUUGGCCAAUAAAAAUUCUAUUACUCUC